UGGGGAAUAUUGCACAAUGGGGGAAACCCUGAUGCAGCAACGCCGCGUGAGUGAUGACGGCCUUCGGGUUGUAAAGCUCUGUCUUCAGGGACGAUAAUGACGGUACCUGAGGAGGAAGCCACGGCUAACUACGUGCCAGCAGCCGCGGUAAUACGUAGGUGGCAAGCGUUGUCCGGAUUUACUGGGCGUAAAGCGUACGUAGGCGGAUGCGCAAGUUGGGGGUGAAAUCCCGGGGCUUAACCUCGGAAUUGCCCUCAAAACUGCACGUCUUGAGACCGAGAGAGGUAAGGGGAAUUCCUAGUGUAGAGGUGAAAUUCGUAGAUAUUAGGAAGAACACCAGUGGCGAAGGCGCCUUACUGGCUCGGUACUGACGCUGAGGUACGAAAGCGUGGGGAGCAAACA
rnacentral:rRNA from 1 species